AACCUGGUUGAUCCUGCCAGUAGUCAUAUGCUUGUCUCAAAGACUAAGCCAUGCAUGUCUAAGUAUAAAUGGUAUACAAUGAAACUGCGAAUGGCUCAUUAAAACAGUUAUAGUUUAUUUGGUAAUCGAAUUUACAUGGAUAACCGUGGUAAUUCUAGAGCUAAUACAUGCUGUAAGCCCGACUUCACGGAAGGGCCGUAUUUAUUAGAUAACAGACCAAUAUUCCUCGUGUCUAUUGUGGUGAAUCAUAGUAACUAAUCGGAUCGCAUGGGACUUUCCCGCGACAAACCAUUCAAGUUUCUGCCCCAUCAGCUUUCGAUGGUAGUGUAUUGGACUACCAUGGCUUUUACGGGUAACGGAGGAUUAGGGUUCGAUUCCGGAGAGGGAGCCUGAGAAACGGCUACCACAUCUAAGGGAGGCAGCAGGCGCGUAAAUUACCCAAUCCUAAUUCAGGGAGGUAGUGACAAGAGAUAACGGAUCGGGGCUCUGCCCUGGGACUGAAAUGAGAUGAAUUUACACCCCUUUUACGAGAAUCAAUUGGAGGGCAAGUCUGGUGCCAGCAGCCGCGGUAAUUCCAGCUCCAAUAGCGUAUAUUAAAGUUGUUGCAGUUAAAAAGCUCGUAGU
rnacentral:rRNA from 1 species